AGUGAACGCUGGCGGUAGGCCUAACACAUGCAAGUCGAACGGCAGCACAGUAAGAGCUUGCUCUUACGGGUGGCGAGUGGCGGACGGGUGAGGAAUACAUCGGAAUCUACUUUUUCGUGGGGGAUAACGUAGGGAAACUUACGCUAAUACCGCAUACGACCUACGGGUGAAAGCAGGGGAUCUUCGGACCUUUCGCGAUUGAAUGAGCCGAUGUCGGAUUAGCUAGUUGGCAGGGUAAAGGCACACCAAGGCGACGAUCCGUAGCUGGUCUGAGAGGAUGAUCAGCCACACUGGAACUGAGACACGGUCCAGACUCCUACGGGAGGCAGCAGUGGGGAAUAUUGGACAAUGGGCGAAAGCCUGAUCCAGCCAUGCCGCGUGAGUGAAGAAGGCCUUCGGGUUGUAAAGCCCUGUUGUUGGGAAAGAAAAGCAGCAGGUUAAUACCCCGCUGUUCUGACGGUACCCAAAGAAUAAGCACCGGCUAACUUCGUG
rnacentral:rRNA from 1 species